rnacentral:rRNA from 1 species
GCAAAACGCGAAGAACCUUACCUACUCUUGACAUCCAGAGAACUUAGCAGAGAUGCUUUGGCGCCUUCGGGAACUCUGAGACAGGUGCUGCAUGGCUGUCGUCAGCUCGUGUUGUGAAAUGUUGGGUUAAGUCCCGCAACGAGCGCAACCCUUAUCCUUUGUUGCCAGCGGUUAGGCCGGGAACUCAAAGGAGACUGCCAGUGAUAAACUGGAGGAAGGUGGGGAUGACGUCAAGUCAUCAUGGCCCUUACGAGUAGGGCUACACACGUGCUACAAUGGCAUAUACAAAGAGAAGCGACCUCGCGAGAGCAAGCGGACCUCAUAAAGUAUGUCGUAGUCCGGAUUGGAGUCUGCAACUCGACUCCAUGAAGUCGGAAUCGCUAGUAAUCGUGGAUCAGAAUGCCACGGUGAAUACGUUCCCGGGUCUUGUACACAC